UCUCUGUGAUGAGAACUCCUAGCUCACUUUGACCCAAUGUGAAAAGGCACAAACAACUGAGAGAU